rnacentral:sRNA from 1 species
GAAAAUAAAUAUAAAGAAUAAUGCAUAAAUAAAUCGAAAAUAUUAAAAAGGAGUGUUAUGGAACUCUUCUCUAAAUUUAAGAGUAUGAAAUCAUCUCUUUUGAAAUCCGUCUAAUAGGCCUAGAUCUUCUUAGAGUCGGUAGUUUGGCGAAGUCCCAAACAGAUUAGGAAUACCUUCUCUUUCUUUCUCGGACUGAACUAGUCCCGCGUGAAGGAGUUGGGACAGGUCUAUUGGAUUCGGACUGUUUGGAUUAGACUUCAUGAGGACUGGACGGGUCUGGUGCAACGGAGCUGGUUUCGGUGUCUUAGUCCGGUCUUCAAAGGUGUGUCUUUACCCGUACGUGUUCUUAUUAGACGAAGCAAUCUUUGGGACCGGCCUU